CCCUUAGAUGUUCUGGGCCGCACGCGCGCUACACUGACGAAUGCAACGAGCUUAUAACCUUGGCCGAAAGGUCUGGGUAAUCUCCAAAUUUCGUCGUGAUGGGGAUAGAUUAUUGCAAUUAUUAAUCUUCAACGAGGAAUGCCUAGUAAGCGCAAGCCAUCAGCUUGCGUUGAUUACGUCCCUGCCCUUUGUACACACCGCCCGUCGCUCCUACCGAUUGAAUGGUCCGGUGAAGCGCUCGGACCGCGGCCUCUUGACGGGUCUCCGUCGAUUGGCUGUGGGAAGUUCGUUAAACCUUAUCAUUUAGAGGAAGGAGAAGUCGUAACA
rnacentral:rRNA from 1 species